rnacentral:rRNA from 1 species
GACGAACGCUGGCGGCGUGCCUAAUACAUGCAAGUAGGACGCAGUUGCGAACGGGUGAGUAACGCGUAGGUAACUGCCUAUUAGAGGGGGAUAACUAUUGGAAACGAUAGCUAAUACCGCAUACUAGUAGAUGGACCUGCGUUGUAUGUGCUAGUAGGUAGGGUAAUGGCCUACCUAGGCAACGAUACAUAGCCGACCCGACAGGUGGAUCGGCCAAACGGGGACUGAGACACGGCCCAGACUCCUACGGGCGGCCGCAGUAGGGAAUCUUCGGAAAUGGGGGGCACCCUGACCGAGCAACGCCGCGUGAGUGAAGAAGGUUUUCGGAUCGUAAAGCUAUGUUGUUAAGGGAGCGUUACUUAACCAGAAAGGGACGGCUAACUACGUGCCAGCAGCCGCGGUAAUUC